UACGAAGGGGGCUAGCGUUGCUCGGAAUCACUGGGCGUAAAGGGUGCGUAGGCGGGUCUUUAAGUCAGGGGUGAAAUCCUGGAGCUCAACUCCAGAACUGCCUUUGAUACUGAGGAUCUUGAGUUCGGGAGAGGUGAGUGGAACUGCGAGUGUAGAGGUGAAAUUCGUAGAUAUUCGCAAGAACACCGGUGGCGAAGGCGGCGACCUGGUCCUUUACUGACGCUGAGGCGCGAAAGCGUGGGGAGCAAACAGG
rnacentral:rRNA from 1 species